GAUGAACGCUAGCGGCAGGCCUAACACAUGCAAGUCGAGGGGUAGCAGGAUUAAGCUUGCUUAAUUGCUGACGACCGGCGCACGGGUGCGUAACGCGUAUGCAACCUACCUUAUACUGGGGUAUAGCCCGGAGAAAUUCGGAUUAAUCCCCCAUAGUACUAAUGAAUCGCAUGGUUUAUUAGUUAAAGCAUUGCGGUAUAAGAUGGGCAUGCGUCCUAUUAGCUAGAUGGUGAGGUAACGGCUCACCAUGGCUACGAUAGGUAGGGGGCCUGAGGGAGGGGUCCCCCCCACUGGUACUGAGACACGGACCAGACUCGUACGGGAGGCAGCAGUGAGGAAUAUUGGUCAAUGGGCGCAAGCCUGAACCAGCCAUGCCGCGUGCAGGAAGAAUGCCCUAUGGGUUGUAAACUGCUUUUAUUUGGGAAUAAACCUCUUUACGUGUAGAGAGCUGAAGGUACCAAAUGAAUAAGCACCGGCUAACUCCGUGCCAGCCGCCGCUGUAA
rnacentral:rRNA from 1 species